UGCCCAGCAACUCCUAUCCCUAACUCCUCGCGGUACCGGCCGGAAACUAUGAGCAACCUUGGGGAAGAUCGGGUAACCAACCCCGGUGGGAACUUUGGUCGUAGGCUGACAGGGAAGG
rfam:Aedes albopictus isolate Foshan contig151766, whole genome shotgun sequence.